GCUUUGCUGUUCCUCUCAGCCUAAGGCUAAGGCUAUUGGAAUCUUUAUAUGACAUUGCCCAUGACAUACCAUGUCAACAAUACACAUUCACUUCACUGCAAUACCUUAAUAAAACGAGCAGGAAAAUAAGUUUAUUCCCUCCUCCCCCCAAAAAACAGAAGCCAACUGAAAAUUUUACAUUUUUAUUUGUUUUGGUACAGGGUUUCUUUUUUUGUUUUUAUUUUAAAGAUUUAUUUUAUUUUAUGUAUAUGAGUACAUGUACAGCUGGUGUGAGCCUUCAUAUGGUUGUUGGGAAUUGAAUUUUUAGGAUCUCUGCUUGCUCCGGUUGCUCUGGUCGCCCCACUUGCUCAGGUCAACUCCACUUGCUCAGUCCCUGCCCGCUCAGGCCUAAAGAUUUAUUCAUUAAGUACACUGUAGCUAUCUUCAAACGCAUCGGGUGGUUGUGAGCCACCAUGAGGUUGCUGGGAUUUGAACUCAGGACCUUCGGAAGAGCAGUCAGUGUUCUUAACCGCUGAGCCAUCUCUCCAACUCCCCCCCCCCCUUUUUUUUUUUUCCUCGUACAGGGUUUCUGUAGCACAAGCAAGCCUGGAACUCACAGCAGUUUGGCCUUAGCCUCCUGAGAUGUGGCGCCACACUUAGCUUUCACAAUGUCAGUGGUACUGCUUAGUUAGUUGGGUUUGUUUAGAUAGGAUCUUAUGUAGAACAGGGUGGCCUCGGACUCACUGUAGCUAAAGCUAGCCUCAACUGAUUGUCCUGCCUCCACUACUUUCUGGGACUACAGAUGUGUGCUACUACCAUGACCUGCUUUUUGUUAAAACUGCUUUUUCAUAAAAUGAUAGAAGACCCAGAUGUGGGAAAGGGGAUUAUUAUUUGAAACAAGGAUGAUUCAGACUGGCCCUGAACCCUAGGUCUUCUUGAGAGCUAGACCUUGUAUAAUAUAUUGCAUUCAUAAAAACAAGGAAUACUUUUAAAAUACUUAAACUGUUUCUAGGUUUGUUGUUAUUGCUCUUACUGUUUGGCUUUGAGUUUUUUGUUUGGGUUUUGAGAUGAUCUCCAUCUGUAGGUCAGGCAACUUAUAGUUAGCUUCCUGCCUAAACUUCCCUGAGUGCUAAAGCUGAAGAAUUUAUUCUUUUACAUACAUCUAACUUAGUAGUUUUUUAAUACAAAAAUAGAAUUACUGUAUGGUGUCCUUGGUUUUAAGUGAAAGAAUAUUAUCUUAAUGGGCAAUAUUAUUUCCUCUUAGAAUUUAUGUCCAUGGGUUUGUAGAUUGUUUUGGAUGUUGGUAGAAAUUUGAUUUUUUUCAUAUUAGUUUGUGCCACUCAGGACCUAAGGAGAUGAUGGUGGUGGUGAUGAUGCAGUAGUUAUAGUAUCAGUCCUCUGAGUUAUGCAUUCAAAAUGUUCUCUGUGUAAUUGAAAUACUACUGUUGAACAGGAUUAAUGACAAUCCUAUGCCCUUUAUAAACAUUUUGGCCCUGUUUACAUAUUUUAUAAAUGAAGUAUUGAACUGGAUAAAGAUUUCCAAAGAACACCUUUUCUUGAUGUUUCAUUUUGUUUAUAGUACUGGAGAUUGAAUCUAGAGACUCAUGUAGACUAGGCUAGUACUCUGCCACUGUGCUGCCACAUUCCCAGCCACAGGUGUUCUUUUAAAUUGCAUGUGAUGGUGUACACUUAACCCCAACACUUGGGAAGCAGAAGUAGGCAGAUCUGGUUUGCAGCCAGCUUGUUCAUCAAAGUGAAUUCUAGGACAGCCAGGACUCACAGACUCUGUCUCAAAAACAAAACAAAAAAUAUCGAGGUUAUAUUCAGUGGUAAAGUGUUUGCUUAGCACUCAUAAGGUCUUUGUUUCAAUCCUCACCCCACUCCACCCCCAGUAUCACAAAAGAUAGAGUCACACAUAUUCAUAGGUAAUAUGAUCAAUUGUUUAUCUUUUGUAUCUUUUUUAACACAUUUUUUAUUAGAUAUUUUCUUCAUUUACAUUUCAAAUGUUAUCCC
rnacentral:lncRNA from 1 species